UACGUAGGGUGCGAGCGUUAAUCGGAAUUCCUGGGCGUAAAGCGUGCGUAGGCGGUCCGCGCAGUCUGAUGUGAAAGCCCCGGGCUCAACCUGGGAACUGCAUUGGAAACUAACGGGCUCGAGUGUGGCGGAGGGGGGUGGAAUUCCACGUGUAGCAGUGAAAUGCGUAGAGAUGUGGAGGAACACCGAUGGCGAAGGCAGCCCCCUGGGCUAACACUGACGCUCAGGCACGAAAGCGUGGGGAGCAAACAGG
rnacentral:rRNA from 1 species